rnacentral:rRNA from 1 species
GGUUUCCGUAGGUGAACCUGCGGAAGGAUCAUUGUCGAAUCCUGCCUAGCAGACGACCGCGAACAAGUUGAAAAAUCACGGGUUGCAGGCGGGCUAGGGGAACCUUGCCCGGCGGCACUCCCACCAAACUAAACUCUCGGCGCGGAAUGCGCCAAGGAAUACUCAAUAUGGAUUGCCUGCACCGUUGCGGAUUCCGCAGUGUGUGCUAGGCGUCUGAUCGGUAAACAAUAAGACUCUCGGCAACGGAUAUCUAGGCUCUCGCAUCGAUGAAGAACGUAGCGAAAUGCGAUACUUGGUGUGAAUUGCAGAAUCCCGUGAACCAUCGAGUUUUUGAACGCAAGUUGCGCCCGAAGCCAUUAGGCUGAGGGCACGUCUGCCUGGGCGUCACGCAUCAAGUCGCCACCCCUCUCGAGUUUACGGAGCGGGUGACGGAUGUUGGCCUCCCGUGUCCCCGAGGCGCGGCCGGCCUAAAUUUGAGUCUUCGGCGCGAGACGUCACGACAAGUGGUGGUUGAAAUCAUCAACUCGUGUGCUGUCGCGACCUCGCCCUGCACCGACUCCCUCGACCCAAAAUUGAGUUACGGGCCUUCGACCGCGACCCCAGGUCAGGCGGGAU